rnacentral:rRNA from 1 species
CGUGCAGGCGGUUCGGCAAGUCGGACGUGAAAGCUCCUGGCUCAACUGGGAGAGGCCGUUCGAGACUACCAGACUAGAGGGCAGUAGAGGGAGGUGGAAUUCCGGGUGUAGCGGUGAAAUGCGUAGAUAUCCGGAGGAACACCAGUGGCGAAAGCGGCCUCCUGGACUGCCCCUGACGCUUAGACGCGAAAGCUAGGGGAGCGAACGGGAUUAGAAACCCCGGUAGUCCUAGCCGUAAACGAUGCGGACUUGGUGUUGGUGGCUUAAACUCCAUCAGUGCCGAAGCUAACGCGAUAAGUCCGCCGCCUGGGGACUACGGCCGCAAGGUUAA